CGCCUGGGGAGUGCGGCCGCAAGGUUAAAACUCAAAUGAAUUGACGGGGGCCCGCACAAGCGGUGGAGCAUGUGGUUUAAUUCGACGCAACGCGGAGAACCUUACCUGGUCUUGACAUCCAGAGAACUUUCCAGAGAUGGAUUGGUGCCUUCGGGAACUCUGAGACAGGUGCUGCAUGGCCGUCGUCAGCUCGUGUCGUGAGAUGUUGGGUUAAGUCCCGUAACGAGCGCAACCCCUAUCCCUGGUUGCUAGCAGGUAAUGCUGAGAACUCCAGGGAGACUGCCGGUGACAAACCGGAGGAAGGUGGGGAUGACGUCAGGUCAUCAUGGCCCUUACGGCCAGGGCUACACACGUGCUGCAAUGGCGCGUACAGAGGGCUGCCAACUCGCGAGAGUGAGCCAAUCCCUUAAAACGCGUCGUAGUCCGGAUCGGAGUCUGCAACUCGACUCCGUGAAGUCGGAAUCGCUAGUAAUCGCGAAUCAGAAUGUCGCGGUGAAUACGUUCCCGGGCCUUGUACACACCGCCCGUCACACCAUGGGAGUGGAUUGCACCAGAAGUAGUUAGUCUAACCUUCGGGAGGACGAUUACCACGGUGUGGUUCAUGACUGGGGUGAAGUCGUAACAAGGUAACCGUA
rnacentral:rRNA from 1 species